rfam:Eubacterium sp. CAG:161 genomic scaffold, scf133
AGUAGGAGGAAACAAAAUGAACGAAGUUCAUUUUCUAUAAACGUUUCCGACGAAAUGCCGCUGACCGAAGGGAGGGGGCGCUACAUCUG